rnacentral:tRNA from 1 species
GCCGCUGUAGCUCAGUUGGUAGAGCAGCUCAUUCGUAACGAGCAGGUCACAGGUUCGAUCCCUGCCAGCGGCUCCA